rnacentral:rRNA from 1 species
GGGACACGUGGUAUCCUGUCUGAAUAUGGGGGGACCAUCCUCCAAGGCUAAAUACUCCUGACUGACCGAUAGUGAACCAGUACCGUGAGGGAAAGGCGAAAAGAACCCCGGCGAGGGGAGUGAAAAAGAACCUGAAACCGUGUACGUACAAGCAGUGGGAGCACGCUUAGGCGUGUGACUGCGUACCUUUUGUAUAAUGGGUCAGCGACUUAUAUUCUGUAGCAAGGUUAACCGAAUAGGGGAGCCGAAGGGAAACCGAGUCUUAACUGGGCGUUAAGUUGCAGGGUAUAGACCCGAAACCCGGUGAUCUAGCCAUGGGCAGGUUGAAGGUUGGGUAACACUAACUGGAGGACCGAACCGACUAAUGUUGAAAAAUUAGCGGAUGACUUGUGGCUGGGGGUGAAAGGCCAAUCAAACCGGGAGAUAGCUGGUUCUCCCCGAAAGCUAUUUAGGUAGCGCCUCGUGAAUUCAUCUCCGGGGGUAGAGCACUGUUUCGGCAAGGGGGUCAUCCCGACUUACCAACCCGAUGCAAACUGCGAAUACCGGAGAAUGUUAUCACGGGAGACACACGGCGGGUGCUAACGUCCGUCGUGAAGAGGGAAACAACCCAGACCGCCAGCUAAGGUCCCAAAGUCAUGGUUAAGUGGGAAACGAUGUGGGAAGGCCCAGACAGCCAGGAUGUUGGCUUAGAAG